ensembl:lncRNA
GUGGCUCACGCCUGUAAUCCUAGCACUUUGGUAGGACAAGUCAGGUGGAUCACUUGAGGUCAGUAGUUCAACACUACCCUGGCCAACAUAGUGAAACCCCGUCUAUAACCAAAAAAAAAAAAAAGUCAUAUAUGUAAGUUGAAAAGCUAUCUUCACUUGACUUUCUCUCAGAAUGUUGCAUUAACAGUAUCAUUGUGUCAUCCAUCUGAUUUCCUGUGUUCAGGUAUGGACCUGACUACAAGAGUGGUCAGGAAUGGAACUUACACAGUCCAUUACCAGGGUCAGUUCAAAUAGGGUGGUGUUUCAGGCAAUUUUUAUUCAACUACUGGAUCAUAUAAAAGAGAAAAAGGCAAAGUAUAAAUGGAAUAUGAGCUAAUGUUUUAGUCUAUAGAGACAUGUCCAUUUUUUUGGUAGGAAACAAUUGAAUGAGUCAAUACAGCCCAUGGAGAAUAAAGUGUAGGAGUUUAUCAAGUACUGUACCAUGAGCAGAUAACAAACUGUGAAUAGGCAAUGUCUGCAUCCCUUGGAUCAAAAUAUAUUUUCCAUAAUUUAUGUAAUCUGUAAUCAGGCAUUCUAUUCAGUUGUGUGAUGUCUAUUUUAACUCUGGCUAAAAACAGCAUAUAGAACACUAUCAGGCAGCUCCAUUCUUCUGAGUUCUAUCAUCAUAAUGCAGGCAAAUUAUUAUUGUGCCUAUUGAAACAAUGAAGCCAGCUGCACAUCUGAUGCCAAAACACUGAAGAUAUUUAUUGAUGUAUUUCACUUUAAAGUAAAUACACUUUAUUAGGGAAAGCAUUAAAGAUUUCUUCAUGGAGAAUUAGCUAAACUGAUACACAGACACAUUGUUUCAGCAUUCUUGUGGGUUCACAUUAAUUUAUUCCUGUAGUAAACUUUCUUUCCAUUGUAUGAAUAGCCCAAUGCAUAUUUUUGUAAUGAUGAAAAAAUGCAAUUAAUAACCCAUGUUCUCUUUUCGUCAGGUCAGUAGAAGGGAGCGACAUCAUGAGGGGAAGCAGUAGCCAGGGAUAAUGGAAUGCUUCUAAUGACCCUUUUAAUACCAUCUUCAUAGACUGGGGCACAAGGGCCAUGUUCUUGCUUUUCUACCCCUUUGCUCAGUGUCUUCUCAUGGAGUUGUAAAAAUAAUAAAAAUCAUUUGAAGAUUAAGAAAAUUAGGUUUGAAUAUUUGUGUUUUUUUUCUAGACAUCAAAAGGCUGGUCAGUGGCCAAGCUAGGACUCUACCACUCAUCUGAUAACAGUUUGUCUCCAAGUUUCUUUUCCUCACCCGCUCCAUGUAUACACCCCCUAUAGGCAGAUCUGCUCAGUCUGCAAUAUACAAGCCAUGCAUCUCUGUGAAGCUCUGCUUGGGUUCAUUCUAGCUCCUCAGUAGUAAUGGUUGGCUCCUCCUUAAAACCCAUCGUCAUUGCCUGCUUUUAAACAAUGACUCCUACUUGACAGGUGCGCACCAUGGUGACAAUGUACCUAAGAGUAAGGUAUGAUCCUUCCCUUGAGUACUUCACAAGCUAAAGAUGAAGCAAAAUCUACACAAAUAAGUUUCAGAAUUCUACAUACUGAAUUUCUAAAAUGUACUUGAGAGUAAUCAUGC